CAGCCCCUCGAGUGGUGGGGAUGAUUAUUUGGCCUAAAGCGUCCGUAGCCGGCUCUGUAAAUCUCUCGUUAAAUCCAGCGUCCUAAGCGUUGGGCUGCGAGAGACACUGCCGAGCUAGAGGGUGGGAGAGGUCAGCGGUAUUCCUGGGGUAGGGGCGAAAUCCAUUGAUCCCAGGAGGACCACCAGUGGCGAAGGCUGCUGACUAGAACACGCCUGACGGUGAGGGACGAAAGCUGGGGUAGCGAAUCGGAUUAGAUACCCGAGUAGUCC
rnacentral:rRNA from 1 species